CUCUCUCUCUCCCCUUCCUCUGGCUUUUAUGUUCCAUAUAUAUUUGGGUGUGUGUGUAUACAUAGAGAGCUCUACAUUUGGUGGUGGGUUAGGGUUCUCUCGUCAUAAGGGUGUGUUGACUGUUGAGGGGAAUGUUGGCUGGCUCGAGGCUUAAAACAAAGAUGGUGGGUUCUCAAGGGAACAAACUAACAAGCUAGUACUACCAAUGUGUUAAAGGCUUCGGACCAGGCUUCAUUCCCCUCAAACAUGUAUGUAUGUUUGAUUGAUAGUUGCUAUAUAUGUGAGGACUGAGGGUCAAGGGUGAGAGGAAUGUUGUCUGGCUCGAGGCCAUCAAGGUGUGAUCUUGAUCUCAUUCAAUAUUGGCCUAAAUGAUUCUCGGACCAGGCUUCAUUCCUCCCAACCAACGUUCAUUCACUAUUGCAAUUCUCUUUAUUUGUCAAGUACUAGUAAUUGUUUGUGGUAAGUUAGUUUGUUUGGUUUUUUGAAUUGCCUAGCUGGUUUUAGCUUUAUUUUGUUCCAUCAUCAAUUUCAUUGCUUUAAUUCUAGGUAUAGCUAGGAGGGUUUGCUUUUUUUUUCCUUUCAGGUUUCUUCUUCUACUUGACCAGCAGGUGCUAAUUAUUAAGGAGUUCUCUGUGGGAUGAUGAUGAUUAAUGCAAAUCAACAACUUUGAAGGUUCUUCUUCUAAGUUUUCUCACCUGAUGCGAGAUCUUACAUGGGUUUCAAUUUGUUCUUUCUUAAUUUAAAGCAAAUCAAACUUCAAUUAUAUACAGAUUUAUUUGUUUUUGUUAGGCUUUUACUUAUAAUUUCCAUGUAUGGCAGUACUGCAGCUUCUUCUUCUUCUUCUUCUUCUUCCUCUCUCUCUCUCUCACUGUACUCACUCUCUCAGUCUCUCUCUCUCUUGGGAUGAUGAUGGUUAAAUGUCAAUGCAAUUCAACAACUUUGAAGGGUA